rnacentral:rRNA from 1 species
AUUGAACGCUGGCGGCAGGCCUAACACAUGCAAGUCGAACGAGUGGCGGACGGGUGAGUAAUGCAUGGGGAUCUAGCUUAUGGCGGGGGAUAACUCCGGGAAACUGUAGCUAAUACCGCGUACCAUAGGAUGAGCCCAAGUGGGAUUAGCUAGUUGGAGGGGUAAAGGAUAACCAAGCGACGAUCUCUAGCUGGUCUGAGAGGAUGACCAGCCAAACUGGGACGGAGACACGGCCCAGACUCCUACGGGAGGCAGCAGUGGGGAAUAUUGCGCAAUGGGGGCAACCCUGACGCAGCCAUGCCGAGUGCAUGAAGAAGGCCUUAGGGUUGUAAAGUUCUUUCAGUAGCGAGGCGUUAACUACAGAAGAAGCACCGGCUAACUCCGUGCCAGACGCCGCGGUAAUUC